CCUACGGGUGGCAGCAGUGGGGAAUCUUGCGCAAUGGACGAAAGUCUGACGCAGCGACGCCGCGUGCGGGAGGAAGCCCUUCGGGGUGUAAACCGCUGUCACCGGGGAAGAACGUGCACCGGAGGAAAUGCCGGUGUAGUGACGGUACCCGGGGAGGAAGCACCGGCUAACUCUGUGCCAGCAGCCGCGGUAAUACAGAGGGUGCGAGCGUUGUUCGGAAUUACUGGGCGUAAAGCGCGCGCAGGCGGCCUUUUAAGUCUCACCGUUCAAGCCCGGAGCUCAACUCCGGUCCGCGGGGGAUACUGGAGGGCUAGGGACAUGUAGGGGCGAGCGGAAUUCCGGGUGUAGCGGUGGAAUGCGUAGAGAUCCGGAAGAACACCGGGGGCGAAGGCGGCUCGCUGGGCAUGGUCCGACGCUGAGGCGCGAAAGCGUGGGGAGCG
rnacentral:rRNA from 1 species